AUGAAGGAUCUUGGUGCUUCUAAGAAAAUUCUAGGUACAUUGGAACAUUGGAAGGCUAUUCAGUGGAUUUUCAGGUACCUUCGUGGCACUUCCAAUGCUUGUUUGAAAUUCGUCAGGACUAGUGAGGGACUAGCUGGCUAUAUGGAUUCAGAUUCUGCUUUCAGCGAUUUGGACAAGAGGAGGUCCCUUAGAGGUUAUGUGCUCAUAGUUGGUGGUUGUGCCGUGAGUUGGAGGGCAACAUUGCAGCUAGUAGUUGCCCAGUCUACCACUGUAGCAGAAUACGUUGCUAUUGCAGAAGCACGUAAAGAAUUAGUUUGGCUGAAAGGUUUUCAGAGUGCCAUAUACCCCACUAAGGAUCAGAUGUUCCAUGAGAGAAAAAAGCACAUUGUUGUCAAAUAUCAUUAUGUCAGAGACAUUGAUCAGAUGUUCCAUGAGAGAACAAAGCACAUUGUUGUCAAAUAUCAUUAUGUCAGAGACAUUGUUGAGCAAGGGAGGAGGUUCUCAUUCAUGCUACAAGAUGGAAUUUGUCUCAAGGUGGAGUUUGUUAUGUUAUGCUUCAAAUUCAAGUAUAAAGAGAAAGGCUAA
rnacentral:rRNA from 1 species